rnacentral:rRNA from 1 species
CGUCUGUAGGGGGUUUAUUAAGUUCCAAGUAAAAUUUCAAGGCUCAACUUUGAAUUCGCUUGGAAAACUAAUAAACUAGAGUCUAGCAGAGGUGCAUGGAACUUGUGGUGUAGGAGUGAAAUCCGUUGAUAUCACAAGGAACACCAAAGGCGAAGGCAUUGCACUGGGCUAGCACUGACCCUGAGAGACGAAAGCGUGGGGAGCAAAACGGAUUAGAUACCCGUGUAGUCCACGCCCUAAACGAUGAAUGCUAAAUGUUCGGGGAUUCGACCCCCUGGGUGUUACAGCUAACGCGUUAAGCAUUCCGCCUGGGAAGUACGGCCGCAAGGCUAAAACUCAAAGGAAUAGACGGGGAUCCGCACAAGCGGUGGAGCGUCUGGUUUAAUUCGACAGUAAGCGUGGUACCUCACCAGGGUUUGACAUCCCUUGACAGCCUUGGAAACAAGGUUUCCUUCGGGCAAGGUGACAGGUGCUGCAUGGUCGUCGUCAGUUCGUGCCGUGAGGUGUUCCGUUAAGUCGGGAAACGAACGAAACCCCUAUUGCAUGUUACAAUUUCUCAUGCAAGACUGCCCGGAUAUACUGGGAGGAAGGUGGGGAUGACGUCAGAUCUGCAUGGUCCUUAUACCCUGGGCGACACAGGCGCUACAAUGGCAGAGACAAAGGGGUUGCAAACCCGCGAAGGGUGAAGNCUAAUCCCAAAUAAGCUUUGUCUAAGUUCGGAUUGAAGGCUGCAAUUCGCCUUCAUGAAG